rnacentral:lncRNA from 1 species
UAAAAAGUCAUUAAAAUGGUCUCAGUGCAGGUGGGGUCUGGUUAUCGGGUGGUUGUAUAACUUUAGAUAUGAAUCGGGUCAUAUAGAUCGGCAUGUAGGCCAGAAAGCCUUGGGCUUCUCUCCCUGGGGCAGCGUUGAUCCACAUCAAUUAUGGUGAGCAAGUCCCACUCCAGGAUGUAAUUAUUAAGCAAGUUGAUUUUUGUUUCCCUGUGUUUUGUGGAGCUAAUUAGUCUCUAGCUCCUCGAUGACCAUGACUUUUAUGGUCACCUUCAGGUAAUAAAAGGUCUUCUAAUCAGUAAUUAAUACUUUUAAUUCAGAGUAAGAACCAAAACUUUCAACUUCCUUCAAGGUUAUAGCUGCACCGCUUUCCCGGCUGCUGUCGCCAGUUACGUGCAGUGGGAGGGAGGGGAGGAGCUGAUUUCUUAGUUUUUCUCCAACUUAUGCUUUCACCCAUCAGUUCCUCUCCCCCACACUCUGAUUUCUUACCUCUGUGAGGUUAGAGGAGAGAAGAGAGGAAAAGGAAAGGAAUGUUCCAGGCUUGUCUUUUUAUUUUUUUAAAUUAUUUUAUUGAUGUAUAUUAUUAUAUAUGAGUUUCUGUAUAGACUGCAUUAUACUGACCUCCAAUAAUCUAGAUUUUAUCUGUCACCAUACAUGUGUGCCCCAUUACCCCUUUCGCCCUCCACUCACCCCCUUUCUCUCUGGUAAUCACAGUUCUGUUCUUAUCCAUGUGUUUGUUUAUCUUCCACAUACGAGUGAAAACAUGGUGUUUAUCUUUGUCUGGCUUAUUUCACUUAGCAUAAUACCAUCAAAGUCCAUCCAUGUUGUCACAAGUGGCAUGAUUUUGUCUUUUUCAAUGGCUGAGUGGUAUUCCAUUCUAUAUAUGUAUACUAAAUCUUCUUUAUCCAUACAUCUGUUGAUGGGCACUUGGGUUGCUUCCAUGUCUCGGCUAUUGUGAAUAAUGCUGCAAUGAACAUAGGAAUGCAUAAAUGUCUUUGAAUUGCUGAUUUCAUGUUCUUUGGAUAAAUACUCAGUAGUGGGAUGGCUGGAUCAUAUGGUAUUUCUACUUUUACUUUUUUGAGAACUCUCCAUACUGUUUUCCAUAAUGGCUGUACCAGUUUGCAUUCCCACCAGCAGUGCAUGAGGGUUCCCUUUUCUCUGCAUUCCAACAUUUGUUAUUUUUUGUCUUGUUAAUUAUAGUCAUUCUGAUGGGUGUAAGGUGAUAUCUCAUUGUCAUUUUGUUUUGCAUUUCCCUAAUAAUUAGUAUGUUGAACAUCUUUUCAUGUGCCUAUUGGCCAUCUGUGUAUCUUCUCUGGAAAAAUGUCUUCUUCAUAUCCUCUGCCCAUUUUUUGAUCAGUUGUCUGUUUUUUUGUUGUUGAGUUGUUUGAGUUCUUUAUAUAUUUUGGAGAUUAACCCCUUGUCAGAUAUAUGAUUUGCAAAUAUUUUCUCCCGGUUAGUGGGUUGUCUUUUCAUUUUGUUCAUGGUUUCCUUUGCUUUGCAGAAAGUUUUAGUCUGAUAUAGUCCUAAUUGUUUAUUUUUUUCUUUUCUUUCCCUUGCCUGAGUAGACAUGGUAUUUGAAAAAAAUACUGCUAAGACCAAUGUCAGAGUGUACUGCCUAUAUUUUCCUCUAGGAGUUUUAUGGUUUCAGGUCUUACAUUCAAGUCCUUAAUCCAUUUUGAGUUAAUUUUCAUGUACGGUGUAAGAUAAUGGUCUACUUUCAUUCUUUUGCACAUGACUGUCCAGUUUUCCCAACACCCUUUAUUGAAGAGUCUUUCCUUUCUCCAUUGUAUGGUCUUGGCUCCUUUGUCGAAGAUUACCUGUCCAUAGAUGUGUGGCUUUAUUUCUGGGCUUUCAAUUUUCAGCCUUGUCUUUACUGCAGAUAAAAGAUCUGUAGUAUAAGAGGAUGUCUCGAAAGAACCCACAAAGAAUAAAGCACCCCCAUAAGAGAAUCUGCUGUAAACUCUGCCAACCCCAGAGAGCGAGAGGUCCGGCAAAGACAGACUUGGAACUUUCCUUUCCCUUCCUGCCUUGUCCUCCCUUUCUCUCUUUUACCCUGAUUUCCCCAGCUUCCCCAGCUUCUCCACGCUCCUGUCCUACAUGUUGCCUAAUUUCUGCCUCCUCUUCCCCCUCAAGUGUGGGUGUUUCUUAACCUUGUGUCUUUGACCUUCUUCUCAUGUUUUUCUGUACUCUGGCUAUUGUUUUUCAUGUGCUCCCGAGGCUUCAACUCUUACUGUGGAUGGCUGCCAAUCUGCAUUCCCAGCCCUCUCCGUCCUCUGAGUCCUGGUUCUGAGUUCCUGCUGGGAAUCUUGAACUGAAGGUCCAUAGUCUUCUGAAGUUUCCCAUGUCUCAAAGUCAAGUCAUCCCUCCUUUGUCUCUCCUCCACCUUCCUCUCACUUCCCAGUUUUUCUUGCCUGCACCACUGUUCUCUCUCUAUCCAGGCUGCCUAUCACCGUCUGCUUCUCCUUCUUCCUGACUCUCUGCUUCAAAUCCGCCACCAGCUCCUUACAUUCUGCCUUUAUAAUAGCUUUUGAAUACAUCUCCUCCUCUGCGUCACAGCUGCUCCUCCCCUAGCACCGCCAUUCAGAGGCAAUAACUGUUAACAUUUUGAUGCGUAUUUUUCCAGCUUUUUUUCCCUGUCGAUAUAAGUAAAUAAGUAAAUAAAUAAAUAAAUAAAUAUUAUACAUGUACUUUUACAAACUAUUAUCAUAGUGUUCACAUUAUUGUAUAAACUCAUUUUUUUCGCUUAAUAAUGUAUUGUGAAACUCUUUCUAAAUAAUUUCAUAUUCGUCCACAAUAAUUUUCAAAUAUAGUGGCAGUUGAGGACUUGGGGUUUUGUCUUCUGUGUCUCAAACAGAGUCCUCAUGGCCUUUUUCUCCUCUUCAGUUAAUGGUGACCUAAACUCCCAUGGAAGAAAGAGGAAAAGAAAAUUAUGCUUAACGUAUGGCAUAUCCUGUCCCGGUGCACCGAACUUAUUAGGAACUGGGUAUGGCAUGAGGUGGACCCAGACGUCAGACUUAGGAUGAGUGUGUAACAGAUGUGUGUUGAAUAGGGGAAAGGUGACAUAGGAGGUGGGACUCGAAGCAGAGUCUGGUCAGGUUGACAAAAGCCAUCACCUGGCCUGGCCCUGGACAGGUCAGAGGGCCACUCCCCAAAGGGCUUGUGCAACAUCGAUGAAGACACCCCAGCAGACUUGUCUUCUUGCUUUCACAGUGGAGAGGCACUCGGUGAUCAGGGACAAGCAGUCCCAGCCUGGGGUUUUCCUGGGGACUUUGAAUGCUAAAAUGAGACAGUCUGGGUAAACCAGGACAGUUGACCACCCUACUCAGUGAGUCCCACCCGAGGUUCAAAUUCUCCUCGUAAAGGAUGUGGGUUGAUUCCAGAACCUUUGAAACCAUCAUCUCACCUCUACAGGAACCUUGAGUGUGGUGUCUGAGAGGAGAGUUAUAGCUCCCAGCCAGAAUCCUUUUAUAUGUGAGAGAAAUAAAUGUGAAUCAUUUUUAUAUCGCUGUUAUUCUGGAUUCUCUGUCACUAACAGUCAAACCAAAUUCCUACUGAUAAGACUGUAUAAAAGUAAUACUAAUUAAAUUCAUUUACAUAAGCCCACCAAUUUCACUCUUAAUUACUGUGAUGCGCAAUAAUGAAGUACACACCCCAACAUACCAUUGUAAGUUUUAUUUGAUUUCAGCACUAAACUUAGUUUAUAGAUAUGCUUGGCUUCUUUCAACAGUUUGUUGAUUACAUAGUAUAAUCAUCCACUGACAACUUAAAAAACAUGGGAGGAGACAUAUUUCUUCCAGUGUGUGAAUGGAGGCCCAGGGCACCACGCCCCACUGUUGAAUUGGAAUAAAUGGAUCAAUCCUUUUUGAACAGAGUCUGAGAGACAGCAUUAACACACACCUCAUGGCCAAAGUACAUUUUAUUCAGCCUUUGCCGCAUGCAGUUGUUUUUGGGGACAUGGUGUGACCCUUGGCAUAUCUGCAUCUGUGAAAUAAUAAGCCAUUCUUUAAAUCAAGAUUUUGCAGCAUUACGAAUGCUUGGAGAGGGUUUUCAAAAUUAUUAUUCUAGUGCUAGUCUGCUUCCCUUCUUUCUCUUAAAUAAUCUGCAUUAGGCAUUCAAAAGGUCCACUCAUCCCAGGACAUGACUAGAGCUAAUUUGCUGAGAGCCUCUGAGCACCGCCCAGCCCUGCUCAGGACAUCUGCUGGGAACUUAAAUCAUUUUAAGUGGAGGAAUUAGCCUCCUGUUUUCUGCUGGGAAAGAAACGUGACUCUGGGUAUUCCGCACCAGGCUUUUAAUGGUGGAAAUGAACUAUGCUGCAGAUAUACAAAAGAAAAAUAAAUCCAUCUUCUUUUACUAGGAGCUUGACACUUUUAUUUAGAAAAUUUACAUUUCUGAAUGCUUCCUUCGUACAUUACAGAUGCAUUUCAAAUGUGACUCUGUUAGGUUAAUAGUCUACGCCUUAAAAACAGAUCAGGAUGAAAGUGGGAUUUGAGGCCACUUUGAAGGAAGAAAGAAAGAAGAGAGAGGAUUUAGCUAAUGAUAAGAUGAAUCAAAGAGCAUAACAAAUUCUUUUCUUGCAAAAGCAGAGAAAUUCUGAUAAGCCUGAAAGACUCUGAAUAGAGAAACAUGCUCUUGUAAAUUACUUUUGCAUCAGCACUUACCUCCCCAAGACUUUAACAUGGAAAAUCUAAAUGGGAAUUCUAUAUAAUGGACCAUCAUCCACAAUAUAUCAGUUAUGGAUGUACAUACUGUGUGUGUUUUUAAUAUGCUUUUCUAUCUGUGGUUUCAGUGUUGAAUGCUGUUUUCUCCGCACAUAGAACAAACUGAAAGACAGCUUGGAAUUGACUUCUGCACAUUGCCACACCACUACGACAACGGCUCCAAUCUGAGUAAGAUUCAGGAGUGAAAUCGAUGCAAGGAGCUCCAUGGAAGUAGGAUUGAAUGCCUCUGGUCUUUUGGCAAGCUGUUUUCAUCAAGUCAUAGCAAGUAUCACGUCUCAAGCCAUCAUAUGACAAGACAUUCUGUAAGGAGUUUACUCAUUAUUUACUGAGCAUGUCAAAGUGUUGGCUGCCUCCAGGGCUCUCAGGGGAGCACAUAUUUGCCAGAGUAUUUCUGUGAGAAAUACAAGCAAGAGAUAAAUUUGCCACUCAUUUUCAGGACUGCCACUAAGAACACAUAGUCUGUUUGCUCCCUCUCCUGCAGAGGUUUCUGGGUACAGAGAAAAUACCAUUAAGAAAUAGAUGUAACAUCAAGGUAUCCUAGGCUGGGUGACUGCUAUGAACUGUCCCCAUACCCACAGUGUAAAUAUGAUCUCUUUUCUUUUGUGUCUUUCAACUAAUGACUUAAAUUCCAUGUACUGUAUCAACAGGAAAGCUAAUAUCUUCUUCUUGAAUUUUAUGCCCCCUUAGCCUGAAUUAUGAAAAAUCUCUGGAAGUUUUGUAAAGAUUAUCUUUGAUUUUCACUGCCACACAGAGUUGCUGUCAAAAGCUUGUUCUCUGCAGGAUGACCAAUGAUGUUGGUCCAUUUUGCAGUGAUGUCUGGGUGGCCCAGAUCCCUGUACAGGAUGCUCUGGACUUUCCAGGACCAUGAUCCCCUUGCUGUCAAAGCUGGGCCAAGGCUACCCUGCGCUUCGGCUCUCCAGGAGCGUUGGCAGCAUUUUCAACGCUGUUGGAAGAGACUCAGUCAAAGGACAUUUUCCUGGACUGUUGUCAACUAAUGAUUUUGUCUUCUGCUCCAUCAUAAUACUCCUUUCAUCUAACUCAUCCUUUAAAUAUAAAUGGACUCAGGUAUGCUUCCAGUUUUUGUGGUAUAGUAGGUUAAUGUCACUAUUUUUUGAUGUCUCAAUUAUGAUUUCACAUUUCAUGUGGGUACACACUGGAAUUUUGAAUUAAAGUAGAAAUUUAGAUCUUGUUGUAAUUUAAUAAUGGAGACUUUGGAGAUAUGGUCAUUUCUUUUUUAGAAUGCUAUCUUAAUAUACAAUAUAAGCACAACAAACUGUACGUGCAUAAAGUGUCUAACUUGAUGAAUUUGGCAUAUGUGUACUCUCAUGAAUCCAUCAGCACACCCAAGAUAAGGAACAUUUUCAUCACCCCCAAAAGUUUCCUGUUACCCCCAGUAACCCUCUGCUUUCUCGCCUCUCACCCCUUCCUCACCUUCAGGCAACCACUGAUCUGCUUUAUAGCCCUCUAGAUAGGUUUGUAGUUUCUAGAAUUUUAUAUAAGUGAAUCAUACAAUAUUACUCUUUUUUGUCUGGUUUGUUUCACUCAGCACGAUUAUUUCAAGAUUCAUCCAUGUUGUCACAUGAAUUGAUGGUCCAUUCCUUCUUUUUGUUGCAUAGUAUACCACAGUAAGAAUAUACUACAAUUGUUUAUCCAUUGAUCUAGUGAUGGACAUUUGAAGUGUUUCUGUUUGGGAUAUUACAAAGAAAGCAACUCUGAACAUUGGUCUACAAGUCUUUGGGUGGUUAUAUGAUCACAUCUCUCUACCCAGGAGUCGAAUGGCUAGGUUAUAUGGUUGGGAAGGUGUAUGUUUAACUAUGUAUGAAACUUCUGACUUGUUUUCCAAAGUGUUUUUACCAUUUUACAUUCCUACCAGCAGUGCAUGACAAUUUCAAUUUCUCCACAUUUUUGCCAACACUUUGUAGGUCAGUCUUUUUAAUUUUAGCCAUGCUACUGGGUAGUAGUAAUAUCUCCUUGUGGUUUUAAAUUUUCCUUUCCCUGAUGACUAGUGAGUAUCCUUUCAUGUACCUAAAUGCCAUCUGUAUAUCUUCCUUUUCAAUUGGUCAUUUGUCUUCUUCUUAUCGAAUUAUAAGAAUUUUUUCUAUAUCCAGAUAGAAGUCUUUUACUGGAUAUGUUUUGCACAUAUUUUUCUCCCAGUCCACGGCUCACUUUUCAUUUUCACGACAGUAAAGCAGAGGAAUUUCCACCCUGAAUAUUUUCCCUCCCGGGACUUCCUCUUCUUUGUCUUGAAUCUCGUUGUCAACUUCUUGUCCAGACAUGGCUUGUUGCUGAGCCCCCGGCACACCAGCUCUGCUUCUUAGACGGGACCUUCUUGCUGUCCUUCACAGUGGUCAUUCUUCCGAUUCUAUGUGUUUAGUCCCCUUGGUGCCCUGCAUCCAUCUGUAAGAAGAGAGACCCUGCCUGACUGGGUACUGAGGUAAGUGACACACCCUUGGAGUUUUAGCUCCCAGAAUCACGGACUUCAGUGGAGUAACUGCAUUUGUUAGAACCCUCACACACUCAAACAAAAUGCAGCCAUCUGGGACAAAACCAAAUAUUGACUAGUUAAUGAUGUUAAUGAAGAAUCUCAUCAUUUCUGCUUACUUAUCAAACAGCCACUAAGUGUGAGGGCCUUCUCUAUGAGUCUAAUGGUCAAGAAAGAGGCUCCAUACAGCUGACUACAGAUUUCUGGAAGACUGACCCUGCAUGUUAAUUCCAUGACAUAGACAUGGAAUUGCGUGAGUGUGGUUAUAAAAGACAUAAGUGAUGCUCUAGAUAUGGAAGCCCUACUAUUUCGUUCAGGAGACUUUCCAAGAUGGAUGAGCUAUUUCUCACCAAUCCGGGGCUUUUCGCUCCUCCACUGUGAAUACAUGUGAAUUUCUUUCUAUGACUUAUACACCUUCCAGUGCUCUAUUUCCUUCUGAAUUCACACAAUUAUUAAAGGGAAAUUGUUUGUAAAGGUUAAAGAAUAUCAACCUACUGAUUAUUUUGUGUCAAAUUUUCAGGUGUCCUGAUUAUAGACAUUGAAUCCCCAUUGAUGAGAGUGUAUCUCAGUUCUAGAUGAGGCAAACCAGGCCUCUGCAAGUUUAUCCAAAAUCAAGCAUGCGUGCUUGACUCGAGACCACAGCACAAGUCUUUUGGCUCAUGGAAGAGCCAGAACCAACUGAAAGCCACAGGGAACUCGAUUUCGUUUAUGGAGCAAUAAAACAAAUUCAAAGUCCAUUUAGGCCAGAAUGGUUCUUUUCUUCGCAUAUUU